rnacentral:rRNA from 1 species
GAUGAAUGCUGGCGGCGUGCCUAACACAUGCAAGUCGAGCGGCAGCGCGGGGUGCUUGCACCCUGUCGGCGAGCGGCGCACGGCUGAGUAACGCGUAUGAAUUUGCCCCAAAGUGAGGAAUAACUCCCCGAAAGGGUAGCUAAAGCCGCAUAUGGUCUUCGGAUUAAAGGAUUUGUCCGCUUUGGGAGAAGCCUGCGUGGGUUUAGGGUGUUGGUAGGGUAAUGGCCUACCAAGCCGACGACCCAUAGCUGGGCUGGGAGGAUGAUCAGCCAGACUGGAACUGCGACACAGUCCAGACUCCUACGGGAGGCAGCAGAGAGGAAUCUUCCACGAUGGGCGCAAGCCUGAUGGCGCAACGCCGCGUAAAGGAUGAAGGCGUUCGGGUUGUAAACUCGUUUUAUGAGUGAAGAAUAUGACGGUAACUCAUGAAUAAGCACCGGCUAACUACGUG